rnacentral:rRNA from 1 species
ACGUUGCUCGGAAUUAUUGGGCGUAAAGCGCACGUAGGCGGCGCAGUAAGUCCCAUGUGAAAGCCCACGGCUUAACCGUGGAAGUGCAUGGGAAACUACUGGGCUUGAGUACUUAAGAGGAUCGCGGAAUUCCCGGUGUAGAGGUGAAAUUCGUAGAUAUCGGGAGGAACACCAGUGGCGAAGGCGGCGAUCUGGGAAGUUACUGACGCUGAGGUGCGAAAGCGUG